UGGGGAAUUUUGGACAAUGGGGGCAACCCUGAUCCAGCCAUGCCGCGUGUGUGAAGAAGGCCUUCGGGUUGUAAAGCACUUUCGGACGGAACGAAAUCGCGCGAUCUAAUAAGCCGCGUGGAUGACGGUACCGUAAGAAUAAGCACCGGCUAACUACGUGCCAGCAGCCGCGGUAAUACGUAGGGUGCAAGCGUUAAUCGGAAUUACUGGGCGUAAAGCGUGCGCAGGCGGUUUUGUAAGUCUGACGUGAAAUCCCCGGGCUCAACCUGGGAAUUGCGUUGGAGACUGCAAGGCUGGAGUCUGGCAGAGGGGGGUAGAAUUCCACGUGUAGCAGUGAAAUGCGUAGAGAUGUGGAGGAACACCGAUGGCGAAGGCAGCCCCCUGGGCUCAAGACUGACGCUCAUGCACGAAAGCGUGGGGAGCAAACA
rnacentral:rRNA from 1 species